AUACGUAGGUGGCAAGCGUUGUCCGGAAUUAUUGGGCGUAAAGCGCAUGUAGGCGGUUUGGUAAGUCGGUCGUGAAAAUGCGGUGCUUAACGCCGUAUGGCGAUCGAAACUGCUGAACUUGAGUGCAGGAGAGGAAAGGGGAACUCCCGGUGUAGCGGUGAAAUGCGUAGAGAUCGGGAGGAACACCAGUGGCGAAGGCGGCCUGCUGGACAUUAACUGACGCUGAGGCGCGAAAGCGUGGGGAGCAAACAGGAUUAGAUACCCUGGUAGUCCACGCUGUAAACGAUGGAUACUAGGUGUGGGGGGUACUGACCCCCUCCGUGCCGCAGUUAACACAAUAAGUAUUCCGCCUGGGGAGUACGGCCGAAAGGUUGAAACUCAAAUGAAUUGACGGG
rnacentral:rRNA from 1 species